ACGGCCGUACCAUGCUGAAUAUACCGGUCCUCGUUAGAUCACCGAAGUCAAGCAUCAUUGGGCGCGCUCAGUACUGAUCAGUCAGUACCCGGUGGGAGACCACCGGGGAACACCGCGUGCAGUC